rnacentral:rRNA from 1 species
AAUAGAUACCCAGGUAGUCCACGCCGUAAACGGUGGGCACUAGGUGUGGGCGACACUCCACGUCGUCCGUGCCGCAGCUAACGCAUUAAGUGCCCCGCCUGGGGAGUACGGCCGCAAGGCUAAAACUCAAAGGAAUUGACGGGGGCCCACACAAGCGGCGGAGCAUGUGGCUUAAUUCGACGCAACGCGAAGAACCUUACCAAGGCUUGACAUACACCGGAAACGUCCAGAGAUGGGCGCCCCCUUGUGGUCGGUGUACAGGUGGUGCAUGGCUGUCGUCAGCUCGUGUCGUGAGAUGUUGGGUUAAGUCCCGCAACGAGCGCAACCCUUGUCCCGUGUUGCCAGCAGGCCCUUGUGGUGCUGGGGACUCACGGGAGACCGCCGGGGUCAACGUCGGAGGAAGGUGGGGACGACGUCGAAGUCAGUCAUGCCCCUUAUGUCUUGGGCUGCACACGUGCUACAAUGGCCGGUACAAUGAGCUGCGAUACCGCGAGGUGGAGCGAAUCUCGAAAAAGCCGGUCUCAGUUCGGAUUGGGGU